rnacentral:rRNA from 1 species
CCUACGGGGGGCAGCAGUGGGGAAUAUUGCACAAUGGGCGGAAGCCUGAUGCAGCAACGCCGCGUGCGGGAUGACGGCCUUCGGGUUGUAAACCGCUUUCGCCUGUGACGAAGCGUGAGUGACGGUAAUGGGUAAAGAAGCACCGGCUAACUACGUGCCAGCAGCCGCGGUGAUACGUAGGGUGCGAGCGUUGUCCGGAUUUAUUGGGCGUAAAGGGCUCGUAGGUGGUUGAUCGCGUCGGAAGUGUAAUCUUGGGGCUUAACCCUGAGCGUGCUUUCGAUACGGGUUGACUUGAGGAAGGUAGGGGAGAAUGGAAUUCCUGGUGGAGCGGUGGAAUGCGCAGAUAUCAGGAGGAACACCAGUGGCGAAGGCGGUUCUCUGGGCCUUUCCUGACGCUGAGGAGCGAAAGCGUGGGGAGCGAACAGGCUUAG